rnacentral:lncRNA from 1 species
UCAAUUGCUCCUUUUCAUGAUAAUCAAUGGUGUUAUUUAUGUGUUUGCAGAUCCUAUAUGUCUAUUAUUUUAUUAGGACCUAGUUUUCUACAUUCACUUAGGUAUAACAAGCUGUUCUUGUCAAGGCUUAACCUUUUUCUUGUAUUUGUGAAUUUCUCCUAAUUUAUUAUUAUAUCUAUAUUUUUUAUAAUUAUUUGGAAUUAUAUUGUUCAUAUGAGUUGAAGAUUUGCUAGAAUAUGUCUUUCUAGUAAUUUGGUUUCCCAAACAAAAAAUCUUACACCGUACUAUGGGAAAUGAAUAUAAUUUCUUUUAUUUUCAUUGAUUUGAUAUAUUUACUUGCACAAUAUUUUGCGUUGACUAAUAACCUAGCAUACAGUCAGUGAAAAAUUAGAGGAAGAUUUUAUGCCAAACAAAUGGGGGCUAAGAGCAUGCAACUUCUCUUUCUAUGUUUAUUAUUUAGGUAUCUUGAGUUGGACUUGAUUUUAAAUAUGUGAUUUGUCUGGGGUUAUUGCUGGUCUACUGUUCCGUGAUGAGUUUUGAUUGACCUUUAGGAAUUAGUUAAUAUUUUAGACCAUUAAACCAGAACUACUGAUCCGGUUCAUUUGGAGGAAUAGACAAAGUUGAUAAGAAAUGCUCCAUUCAGCUAGGAGGAGUGAUUGAGAUUAAAAUGGAAUGCACUUUAUGAAGAAGGAAGGAGAUGGAAAAGCUAAUUGAAAUGAAACUGUGCAAACUCCAAACUAUAUGUGACAAAGUUUGUUGAGAGAAUUACAAACCACUCUCUAAACUGCAGUAGACACACUACUGCUGCCCAAGAUCAGACUUAAGGAACUAGGCAGAAAAAAUCAGAACAAACUCACCGAACACUGCUGUUUUUUAUUAGAGAGUAAUGCUGAUUUUUAUCCUGAAAUCUGUCUUAAUACAAAUCGGCACAAUACAUUUUAUAGUAGUAAUAGAAUGUUCUAGAUAAUUCUAGAUGCAUGAGGCUAGUCAAAUUUUACAUUAAAUGCAGAACCUACAAGAACUUUCUAAUACAUGAACUUCUGAAUUUGUAGUUGACUUAUUAACAAUUCUGGAACCUUCAUGAAGUUUGCACAAAAUUUUAACACUCCCCCUUUGUGCGAACUUCAGAAACCAAGCCGAGUUGUUCUCUAAUAAACUCAAAUUUCUCCUUAGGCAGUGCCUUCGUAAAUAUAUCAGCAAGUUGUUCAUUUGUAUCAGCUUUUAUAAGAUCAAUCUCCUCUUGCAACACCUUCUCCCGUAUGAAAUGAUAGUGCACUUCUGGAACCUUCAUGAAGUUUGCACAAAAUUUCAACAAGGUUUGCGUAGAAUUUGUGUAGGAAGGAGAACAGAGCAUUUAUUCUGAAAUUGGUAGGUUUGAUUUUGAAUCUUGGUUGAAAUUGGCAGGAAUGGAGGGAGGGAAUGAAAAUAAUGAAUGUCAUUCCACAAGACAGUACAAAUUUAUUCCAUGCCCAAUUUGGUUAUGCCCAACUAACUGGAACCUAUUACAUUGAAUGAAAACUAACCCUGAGAUUAUAGUUCACUAAACUAACAUAAUUAGAAACCUGACAUGCUUCCCUGGAGAAUCCUUCUGAUAAUGCUUGCUUGGUUUUGAUUUGAUUUGUCUAUAGUGUGUAUAAGCAUAGGUGACCUGGAAUCUAUUGCAAGUGCCACUUUAGGCAGCAAAUUGCAAUCACUAGUAUUGCAUUCUUGUAUUAAUAGGAUACAAAAAUUUAUGUUCCUUAUAAUGACUGUAAAUAUAAUAUUUAGAUGUUCACUCCAAUACUAUUUGUCACAACUCACCUUGCAGUUUAAAGUCACUGUUUCUAAAAUUCUGAUUGCUUAGAUUGGUAAUUAAAUCACGGUUCUUACAGCUAAUGUGUAAAAUAAUAAUACCGUAGACACACACAAACUAGCCAAACUAACCAAGCCAGGUAUCUCAGCUUCCGACUCAGACACAGCAUCACAGCAUCGAAACUAAACUCAAUAGGUAAUAUUUUUGUUUGUGCUUUCAUUAUGUACGUGGCGGUUUAUGAAAACAUGAUGAGCAACAUAUCAGAAUCUCUGAAUUGACAAACCAAUGAAUUAUAAACUAUAUGCCAUUUUAGUGAAACAUAAAAGCAAGAUAGUUGAUCAAAAUUCAAAACUAUGAACUAUGCCUUUAAUAUUUAAAUCUAAGAGAUAAGAAAAGUAUUAACUUAACUUGCUUGCAAAACCUGUUAGGUUCAUGGAAUGGGAAUGAAUUGCAAAGCAGCCGUGACACUGUGUUAAGACCUGUUGUUAUAGUAUAUAAUAUGUGUAUGUGUAUAAUUAUACUUUGAUAAACUGGAGGAGGUGCAAUAUGGAAGACUGGAAGUUAUCCAAGAAGCUUUUGUUUGUUAGGCGAAUACUAUUAUUGUAGGUGAUAUACAAUUGAUCAAUGAUCACCAGAUCUCCUCAAACCCUUUCAAUUCUAAUUCAUUAUUGCCUCAAGCAUGCAGAAAAACUGUAACUAUUAAGUCCAGGAAAAUCCUCCUAAAUCUCUCCUAUCCUAAUAUAUAGCAGAUUUGUAACUGAAAGGCCAACUAAUCAGCUCCCACCCAUCUUUCCCACUAUAAUUACUCCAACAAUUCUUCAAUUCCAGAUUUCAAAAAUAACUAUUGUGUCUUACGCCUAAUUUAAGUAAAGCGAGUAGGAAGCCUAACAUUACCUGCCACCCAAACUCAAAUAUUUUCCUCAAGGUUGGAUUGAGGAUAUCAGUCCAGAAUGACUUCAAGUUGUUCACAGGAUGACAAUCCCUUCCAUCGAAUAAGAACCUCUGUACCUAUCUGCAAUGUUGUCAAAGGCACGCCACGGCACAUGAGGCGCCACAGUAGCGUAUGGUUCCUGCCCUGGAGCAUCGACUUCAAUGAUGCGCACGCCUAGACCCCUGAAUCGCGAGGCACGGGUAAGGCAAAAUGAGGGCGAGGCGCUAAAAAAAACAGCCCACAAGCCCAAAUAAAGCUCAAAACCCAUGUUAUAAAUAAGCACAGCCUUACCCUAAAUAAACCCAUGUUAUUCUUUUUGUAAGUAAUUCUAAAAGGUUCUCUCAAGCAUCUUGCUAUAGAUAAGUUGAAUGCACUAGUUAUUAUGGGUUUUAGAUUCCCUUAAUAGCUGUUAUAAGAUUUUAUACGAACUAAUAGCCCGAACCAAUAGCACAAUAUGAUAAUGUCGGAUAUGCUUUCUUAAAAGUAUUAAAAAGAAGUUGUGAGUCUAAUAAACUCUGAGUUCUAUUUUAUCAAUAAGCUUUCGGAGUUAUAACUUCCUAUUGGAUUUGCAACAAGAUCUAUAUUCAAUAUUUGGUUCUAGUUGUUUUAUAAUGAUUUGUUACAAAUUGUCCAUCAUAAUUUUGAUAAAUUAUUCUGUGUUUUGUAUUCAUGUAAUUAAUAGCUAUUGUGGUAUUGCCAUGAGAAUUUAAGUCUAAAAUUACUUGUGUGAUAUUGUCAACCUAGUCUAGCCACUAUUUUGUCCCCCACCCCGUCUUUUUGUGUGUAUCGUUUUUGAUGAAAGCAGUCGCAGG